GACGAACGCUGGCGGCAGGCUUAACACAUGCAAGUCGAGCGGAGAUGAGGUGCUAGCACCUUAUCUUAGCGGCGGACGGGUGAGUAAUGCUUAGGAAUCUGCCUAUUAGUGGGGGACAACAUUCCGAAAGGAAUGCUAAUACCGCAUACGUCCUACGGGAGAAAGCAGGGGAUCUUCGGACCCUGCGCUAAUAGAUGAGCCUAAGUCGGAUUAGCUAGUAGGUGGGGUAAAGGCCUACCAAGGCGACGAUCUGUAGCGGGUCUGAGAGGAUGAUCCGCCACACUGGGACUGAGACACGGCCCAGACUCCUACGGGAGGCAGCAGUGGGGAAUAUUGGACAAUGGGGGAAACCCUGAUCCAGCCAUGCCGCGUGUGUGAAGAAGGCCUUAUGGUUGUAAAGCACUUUAAGCGAGGAGGAGGCUACUGAGACUAAUACUCUUGGAUAGUGGACGUUACUCGCAGAAUAAGCACCGGCUAACUCUGUGCCAGCCGCCGCGGUAA
rnacentral:rRNA from 1 species